rnacentral:rRNA from 1 species
AACGAACGCUGGCGGCAUGCCUAACACAUGCAAGUCGAACGAGACCUUCGGGUCUAGUGGCGCACGGGUGCGUAACGCGUGGGAACCUGCCCUUAGGUUCGGAAUAACUCCCCGAAAGGGGUGCUAAUACCGGAUAAUGUCUUCGGACCAAAGAUUUAUCGCCUUUGGAUGGGCCCGCGUUGGAUUAGCUAGUUGGUAGGGUAGAAGCCUACCAAGGCGACGAUCCAUAGCUGGUCUGAGAGGAUGAUCAGCCACACUGGGACUGAGACACGGCCCAGACUCCUACGGGAGGCAGCAGUGGGGAAUAUUGGACAAUGGGCGAAAGCCUGAUCCAGCAAUGCCGCGUGAGUGAUGAAGGCCUUAGGGUUGUAAAGCUCUUUUACCCGGGAUGAUAAUGACAGUACCGGGAGAAUAAGCGCCGGCUAACUCCGUG